rnacentral:misc_RNA from 1 species
GAUGAAGAACGUAGCGAAAUGCGAUAAGUAAUGUGAAUUGCAGAAUUCAGUGAAUCAUCGAAUCUUUGAACGCACAUUGCGCCCGCCAGUAUUCUGGCGGGCAUGCCUGUUCGAGCGUCAUUACAACCCUCAGGCCCCCGGGCCUGGCGUUGGGGAUCGGCGGAGCCCCCCGUGGGCACACGCCGUCCCCCAAAUACAGUGGCGGUCCCGCCGCAGCUUCCAUCGCGUAGUAGCUAACACCUCGCGACUGGAGAGCGGCGCGGCAACGCCGUAAAACACCCAACUCUUCUGAAGUUGACCUCGAAUCAGGUAGGAAUACCCGCUGAACUUAAGCAUAUCAAUAAGCGGAGGA